CUGGACGAACCGCCGUCUAGU
rnacentral:misc_RNA from 1 species